AGAUGAAGUUGCUGGGAAGGCUUCUCCAUCAGCUUGGAUGAAUAAAGUUUUGAAGCCCUUGGAGCCUCCUGCAGAUGUAUCUACAGGGAGGACUUCUCCAGCUUCUCCAGCUCCUACCUUGGAUGCUAUACGCAAGCCCGGCUCCCAUCACAGUGGUACUCCAACAGGGAAAGUCCAAGAUACAACAGAUAAGAUGUCCCUGCAACCUUCCAAACAGAUGCGGCAAGAGCUGAAGGAACCCCUGCAGACAAGAGAAG